UUAAGUUGUCAACAAACAAAAAUAAACCAACGCUUGAAAUCCUGUUGUUGAUUUGUGGUUGAAAUCUAAGUGUAACACAUUUUUUUGUGCAUUUUUUCAACCAGAAAUUGCAUUGAUGUUCAUCAUCAGUAUGUUGAAAAGGUAUCAGAGAUAAUGUUCAUAAAACCUUUGUUCAACGUAUUUAUGCCUGGUGGGAGAACAUCUAUGAACUCUUGUCCUAUAUAUCUUGGUCUCUCUGGUGUCAGUCUGGCUCCUCUCAAAGCUCAAAAUCUGGGCUUCGGGGUUUUUCUCGCCACUUUUGGUGUUACCCAAUACUUGGUUUUGUGCUUGGACCUUUCUUAAUCGUUCCUAGUGAAAAGCUUGCCAAGCGUAGUGAAAAACUUGAUCCGAAUUAAAUUGAAUUGAUGUUUAGCCUGAGGUUUUAGGUUCAUAGUCUGGAAGUUGUCUUUGUGUUUUGACCCCAGACAGACUGUCUGGUCACAUUGAUCUGAGGUUAUAGGUUCAUAGUCUGGAAGAUGUCUUUGUGUUUUGACCCCAGACAGACUGUCUGGUCACAUUGAUCUGAGGUUAUAGGUUCAUAGUCUGGAAGUUGUCUUUGUGUUUUGACCCCAGACAGACUGUCUGGUCACAUUGAUCUGAGGUUAUAGGUUCAUAGUCUGGAAGAUGUCUUUGUGUUUUGACCCCAGACAGACUGUCUGGUCACAUUGAUCUGAGGUUAUAGGUUCAUAGUCUGGAAGAUGUCUUUGUGUUUUGACCCCAGACAGACUGUCUGGUCACAUUGAUCUGAGGUUAUAGGUUCAUAGUCUGGAAGUUGUCUUUGUGUUUUGACCCCAGACAGACUGUCUGGUCACAUUGAUCUGACGUUAUACAGUGGGG